rnacentral:lncRNA from 1 species
UUUGGAGCAAUCUCAGGAGUUGUUUAUGUUGAUUUGCUAGAAAGAGAUACAGAAUGCCAGGCUAGAUUCAAAACUCCUGAGGAUCUCAAGCAAUAAUAAGUGCACUUACAGAAAUUAAAAAGAAAUACCGCUGGAAACUCAAGGGCUUUUCUGGUGAUCACAAAGAUACUGGCAGAUUUUUGUUGAUAGGUAGGCCAAACUUAAUCAGCUAGGGAAAAGAAAGAGGUACUAAAAGUUAAUCACCAAAGCCAAAAAGAUUAAACUUGUAAAGACUCAACAAGCAAGUAAACACAUUAAAUUUUCUGAAUAUGACUGA